rnacentral:tRNA from 1 species
UGGCCUAGUGAUUAAGGCUAUGGAUCGGCAAUCCGGAUACCACGGGUUUGAUUCCCGU